rnacentral:rRNA from 1 species
AUUGAACGCUGGCGGCAUGCCUUACACAUGCAAGUCGAACGGCAGCACGGGAGCAAUCCUGGUGGCGAGUGGCGAACGGGCGAGUAAAGUAUCGGAACGUGCCCAGUCGUGGGGGAUAACGUAGCGAAAGUUACGCUAAUACCGCAUACGAUCUAUGGAUGAAAGCGGGGGAUCGCAAGACCUCGAGCGAUUGGAGCGGCCGAUAGCAGAUUAGGUAGUUGGUGGGGUAAAGGCUCACCAAGCCGACGAUCUGUAGCUGGUCGGAGAGGACGACCAGCCACACUGGAACUGAGACACGGCCCAGACUCCUACGGGAGGCAGCAGUGGGGAAUUUUGGACAAUGGGCGCAAGCCUGAUCCAGCCAUGCCGCGUGCAGGAUGAAGGCCUUCGGGUUGUAAACUGCUUUUGUACGGAACGAAAAGGUUUGGCCUAAUACGCUGAACUCAUGACGGUACCGUAAGAAUAAGCACCGGCUAACUACGUGCCAGCAGCCGCGGUAACAC